CUCGUACCUUUUGCAUCAUGAUUUAGCUAGAAAACCUCAAGCAAAGAGCACUUUAGUUUGAUUCCCCGAAACUACGUGAGCUACUCCAAGACAGCCUAACAAUAGGGCAAACCCGUCUCUGUGGCAAAAGAGUGGGAAGAGCUUUGAGUAGAGGUGACAGACCUACCGAACCUAGUUAUAGCUGGUUGCCUGAGAAAUGAAUAAAAGUUCAGCCUCUCGGAUUCUUCCCUCACCCUUGUCUUCCUCCCCCCUGACAGCCAAAAGAAGCCGAAAGAGUUAGUCAAAGGGGGUACAGCCCCUUUGACACAAGAUACAACUUUUCCAGGAGGGUAAAGAUCACAUUCAAAUAUUAAGGUAAAAUGCUUUGGUGGGCCUAAAAGCAGCCACCCCCAUAGAAUGCGUUAAAGCUCAGACAUACCUAUCACCCCCGAUCCUGACAAUUUCAUCUUAACCCCCUAACCCUACCAGGCCGUCCCAUGCAAGCAUGGGAGCGACCAUGCUAAUAUGAGUAAUAAGAGAGCAUUAGCCUCUCUCCUUGCACAAGUGUAACUCGGAACGGACCCCCCACCGAACCUUAACGACCCCAAACAAAGAGGGCCCUGAAUAACAGACCCGCCAACUAGAAAAAUACUCAGCAAUCAAAUCGUUAGACCCACACUGGUGUGCCUUCAAGGAAAGACUAAAAGAAAAAGAAGGAACUCGGCAAACACAUAAAGCCUCGCCUGUUUACCAAAAACAUCGCCUCUUGCAAAAUUAACGAAUAAGAGGUCCUGCCUGCCCUGUGACCAUGAGUUCAACGGCCGCGGUAUUUUGACCGUGCAAAGGUAGCGCAAUCACUUGUCUUUUAAAUGAAGACCCGUAUGAAUGGCAAGACGAGGGCUUAGCUGUCUCCUUUUUCAAGUCAAUGAAAUUGAUCUUCCCGUGCAGAAGCGGGAAUUCUUCCAUAAGACGAGAAGACCCUAUGGAGCUUCAGACACCAAGACAGACCACGUCAAACCUCCCUGACAAAGGACUGAACUAAGUGGACUCUGUCCUAAKGUCUUUGGUUGGGGCGACCACGGGGAAUCACAAAACCCCCGCGUGGAAUGGGAGCACCUCUGCUCCUACAACUGAGAGCUUCCGCUCUAAUAAACAGAAUUUCUGACCAACAAGAUCCGGCAACGCCGAUCAACGAACCGAGUUACCCUAGGGAUAACAGCGCAAUCCUCUUUUAGAGCCCAUAUCGACAAGAGGGUUUACGACCUCGAUGUUGGAUCAGGACAUCCUAAUGGUGC
rnacentral:rRNA from 1 species